AAUCAUCAAAAAUAUUAUGAAAGAUGAUAAGUAAAAAGUAGGAUUAAAACAAAGGGAUUUCAAAUGAAUAAUAUUUUAACAAGGAAAUUAACAGUAUCCAACUUCAAUGAAAAAUGGCAUCACACCCCUCACUUGGAGAUUCUAUAUACCACUCUUUUUUUCCUUCAAAAAAAGAUAUGGUCAUCAAAAUAAAUAAAUAACAAGGACGGACCAACCUCAUUAUACAACCGAAUCUUGGGGAUGUGAGCAAUCUUAUGCCAAUCAGCGCCACUGUCCUCCCGACAUCUUUCCUCCAACCAAGGAACUUCUGUUAUUUGUAAAUACUCCAAACUGGUUAGGCAACGCAUCUCGUCCGGAAGCGAUGUUAAAUUGGGCAAAUCAGUGAGACGAAGCACUCGCAGAUUUGUUAGAUGUUGAAGCCCACGGGGGAGAGACACCAGCUUUGGAAUAUUCAAAAUCUCCAAACCAGAGAGAUUCUUAAGAGCAUCCGAAAGGAGAUUGAACCACAGGCACAGCAAACUCAUCAAAUCUGCUCUGAUAUAAAUGCUUCACAAGAGUCUGUUGGGGGAAUGAUGAGAAUUGUUCCGUAGGAUAUGGACAAUGAUGCGGAUUAUUGGCUUCUAUCAGGUGCCGAUGUUAGCAUUACGGAAAUGUGGAAGACAGAUUGUGUUGAAGGGAGCGGAGUAGAUAUGCUUCAUUCAGACUUUGGAAUGGCUGAGGUCGGUACUCCAAGGCCAGAAACUCUACCUUCUGGAAUGACCGAAGUGCCAUCAUCCGAUUUUAAAUCAACCCGAUAGGUAAGAUUAUUUUUCCUGACCAAAUUCUGCAGAACAAAUGCCAGCUAGGGGUUAUUCCAAUUUACUUCAGGGUUGAGCUAUUUUUCCUAUCCCAUGGUUUUAGUUAUAGAAACAAAAAGUGUCGGCAUCAGAAUUCUGGUCUAUCUAAUCUGGUUAUAUAUGCACAUUAACAACAUCCUUUUCUUUAUCUGAGUUGCUUAACUAGUCAUUAGUGUUUUACAUAUUAAAAUUGAAAAAGCAGCCUUACUAAAUGUGGAUGUGUAAAAUUGGUGCAUCGUGGUGAUAAUCAUUGGAUCAAUCUUGUUGUUUGUACGAAAUCGGUCCAUUGUAUAUUUGAGGUUGUGACCAAUCGCAUCUAUAAAUAAUCAUAUAAUUAUAGGAAUCCAGUUAUUUUUCUACUACUAUUGCUUCCUUCAUUUUUUUCACUUUUUGGUUGAAAUUGAUCUUUAACUUAUUUACAGUUGAGAUUUUCAUGUUUUGGUUUUGCUAAUGUUAGCGGAAUUCGGUUUAAUUAUUGGUUAGCCAAGCUUGGGCUAUUGAGUAAGCCGAAUUUAAAUACCUUAAUGUCCGACUUAGAGUGGUUUGUAAGUUUGCAUUAAGGGUUUUUCUUUUUUGAACUAAUAUUGAAAAUACCAAUUGAAAUCCUAACUUAAGACAAAUAGUUUUUUAGGUUUAGUCAAGGUUGCUUUAACCAGACCAGGAUCCCGGUUCGGAGAAGGGCAUUGAAUCGAUUGACCCAAGAAUCGGAAUGGAUGAUUGUAUUGGGCGAAAAAUUGGUUGAACCUGGCAGUUGAAUCAGAUGAUGAUGAGAAUGCCCAAUGUUUGGCCCUUUCUUAAACUUGGAAUCAAAAAGCAUAGACGACGGAUUUGUGUUUGGCCACCAUUUGUGCACAAAAUAUGGAGUUCAUUGUUGCUAUAUAGAUGGAACUGAUGGGCUAGAAUCCUCCUAGGAGACUUUGAUUUCUUUAGCUCACCAAGAAACACCCCUGCCAUUGCCCAUCUCCUUCCUUUCUUUCGAGGAUUGCACUAUCUCGUCGCAUCAAGAUUCUAAACGAAAAGCCUUGUGUUUUGUUUAAACGACAAGAACAAAUUACAAGCUGUUAUUCAACUUACAAUUUGAUGUGUGCCAACAUAAGCAUCAACACACAAGUCAUAUACGGCCAGAAAAUCGACAUCUUUUGGAAAAGUCCUAAUCCAAGCAUCAUAAUUGAACAUGGCCUUGGAAUAUUGUCUAAAAAAAUUGUUGUCUUAUAAUCAAUUGUGCAUCCCUUCAUUU